GACGAACGCUGGCGGCGUGCUUAACACAUGCAAGUCGAACGGUGAAGGGAUCAGCUUGCUGGUUCUGGAUGAGUGGCGAACGGGUGAGUAACACGUGAGUAACCUGCCCCCUUCUUCUGGAUAACCGCAUGAAAGUGUGGCUAAUACGGGAUAUUCUGGGUCUGUCGCAUGAUGGGUCUGGGAAAGAUAUUGUUUCGGUGGGGGAUGGGCUCGCGGCCUAUCAGCUUGUUGGGGGGGUGAUGGCCUACCAAGGCGGUGACGGGUAGCCGGCCUGAGAGGGUGGACGGUCACACUGGGACUGAGACACGUCCCAGACUCCUACGGGAGGCAGCAGUGGGGAAUAUUGCACAAUGGGCGCAAGCCUGAUGCAGCGACGCCGCGUGAGGGAUGGAGGCCUUCGGGUUGUAAACCUCUUUCGCCAGUGAAGCAGGCCUGCUCCUUGUGGGUGGGUUGACGGUAGCUGGAUAAGAAGCGCCGGCUAACUACGUG
rnacentral:rRNA from 1 species